rnacentral:tRNA from 1 species
GGUGUUAGCUCAGCUGGAUAGAGCGUUUGACUACGAAUCAAAAGGUCGGGGGUUCGAAUCCCUCACGCCG